ACCCAUGACGAAUCAACGGCGGAGAUUAGUACACUGCUUCUUUGCCCUUUGCAGUACAGCGGUACCGUAAAACAGGUCUCUGCUCACGAUCGAGCGGGCUUUGCGAAGGGGACAAGGAGGCGAGAGGACAGACAGCCAAUGCAGUGCAGAUCCCGAGGUCAACACGAGUCGAGCCGAGCCAAAAUCCAGAGUCCCCGUCGAGAGUUUAAAGAAUGCCACAAGCAUACAGCGAGAACACAGCUCAUCAUCAGAAGCGAGAGGUCAGAGCUGAGCGCGCACUGUGCAGCUCUCACUCUCUGUCUCAGUGGCGGCUAGACUACUCGAGCUGUGGUCUGAUCAGUGGAUACUGGAUAGUACAUCUCGAUCUGAUCCGCCGCCUAGCAAGACAGCUCCAUCGGGUAUGCAUCGCAGGAGAGCCACCACCAUCUUGACGCUCGUCGUGGUCACCUUCCUCCUCGUCAUCAUGGAUUCCGGCGAGGUCUCCGCACGUCGCCUGCUGCCGAGUCCUCCCCGUCCAGCACUGCUGCUCUUGAGUGGCGACGCCGGCGGCAGGAGCCGGCUCAUGCAUGAGAGGAGGAGCUGGGACUGGGAGCCUCAAAUAAUUGGGGAGAAGGCGGCUGCCGUGGGAUCAUUAACCGCGAUGACGAGGCGCUUGCUGGGGCAGAGGAAGCCUGGGAGUCCUCCGUCGCCGAAGCCCCACGGCAUGACGACCAUGUUCAGGCCCCUGCCGCCGCCGCCACCGCCGGUCACCGAAUAGAGGUGCCGUGACGGGGGCCUUUGGUUCGGGGCACGUACGAGCACGAGAUGAUGGUGGGCUGGGCUUCGAUCGUUCCGGUUGGUCUCCUCGUGUUGUCGCGCUGGUACCUUGGGCGAACCGAAACAAGCCGUUCGCUGUGGACAAGGAAACUACUGCUCCAUUUCGAAACACUGUAAAAAUGAGACGCCGUGCUGCACCGUUCGAUCCCUCCAUGCGUGGCCACGCUCGCUAUCGGUUCCAGCUUUGCACCUUUGAUAUGUUGUUCGAAAGAAAAAAGAACACUCUCCAUACGAAGUCGUGGGGGACUUGCCACGAGUUCCUUCUUUAUAUCUUUGAUUUGGCCACGAGUUUGUUCAAAAUGUAAAGUGCAUCCUGGCUGUUGUGGUUUGUGUGGAACAAGGUCUGUCACUCUGUAUUCGAAUCAAAUGAGUAAAUUACUCAGAACUGCCAUGUUUGAUUGAUUCAACAUUCUAUUGUAA